AGGCAUUGAUUCAUUUUGACUAGGGAAAGUUAUGAAGCUUAAUUACAAUAACGUGUACUGCUCAAUUUGCCAUUAAUAUGAGAAAGACAUUGAAUAAAUAAUUCGAUGAGCGAAUUGUAUGAUCGUAGAGGUUAAUGUUGUUUCUUCACCAUUGAAGUCACUAUCAAUCAUCUAUGUGUGUCACUAAACAACUAUAAUUCACUAGACACGAAUUGUGUUCUUGCUUGGACUUUAACUCUCCGACCAAUUCACUAAGCUAACAACAUGUUAACGAGAGUGCAUCGGUACUAAGUGAUCUUGUCAUUUUUGUUUUGCUUUCCAUCCAUGAUCUUUCAAUACUACAAUUGCAUCAGAAAAAUCUAUUUAGUAUAUUUAUUUUGAAUUUGAAUUUGUUGGUAUCAUUAAGUUUCUUGUCAAAUAAGUAAAUGUAUAGUAAAAACAGGUAAUUUUGUUACUUAUCAACUCUAUCCAAAUAAUAGAACUUAAUAAAUAAUUUACCACUGAAUUUCAUCUCACUCUUAAAUAUUCAUGUGAAAACAACUCCUUUUCUCAUCAUGCUGUCCCAUAAAUUAUCAAAAAUCUUUGUUUAUAGAUAUUUAUGAAGCACAAAUGAAAUAAAAGUUUUACUGUUGCUAUGUCAUGUCAAGGGACAUUAAAGACAAUCAUGUCUUUAAAUUUAGUUAUACUAAUCACAUUAUUCUUACUCACAAGCUUGCAAAAGAGAACGUAGUAAUGAAAAGGAAAGCUUACGUGUCAGCCAAUCAAUCAUUCCUAACCACCGUUGUUAAUUUAUCCAAACAAACAACCAGCGCAGCGCAGUUGGUUUCUAACUUCCUGUGUCUCUCUGCUCUCUUUCUUU
rnacentral:lncRNA from 1 species